UACGAAGGGGGCGAGCGUUGUUCGGAAUCACUGGGCGUAAAGGGCGCGUAGGCGGGCUGUCCAGUCUGGGGUGAAAUCCCGCGGCUCAACCGUGGAACUGCCUCAGAUACUGACGGCCUCGAGGGAGGUAGGGGCGUGCGGAACUGUAGGUGGAGCGGUGAAAUGCGUUGAUAUCUACAGGAACUCCGGUGGCGAAGGCGGCGCGCUGGACCUCUUCUGACGCUGAGGCGCGAAAGCCAGGGGAGCAAACGGG
rnacentral:rRNA from 1 species